rnacentral:rRNA from 1 species
UACGUAGGGUGCGAGCGUUAAUCGGAAUUACUGGGCGUAAAGCGUGCGCAGGCGGUUCGUUAAGUUCGUUGUGAAAGCCCCGGGCUCAACCUGGGAACUGCACAGGAAACUAGCGGGCUUGAGUUCGGGAGAGGGAAGCGGAAUUCCGGGUGUAGCGGUGAAAUGCGUAGAUAUCCGGAGGAACACCGGUGGCGAAGGCGGCUCGCUGGGACGUGACUGACGCUGAGACGCGAAAGCGUGGGGAGCAAACAGG